UGGGGAAUAUUGCACAAUGGGCGCAAGCCUGAUGCAGCCAUGCCGCGUGUGUGAAGAAGGCCUUCGGGUUGUAAAGCACUUUCAGCGAGGAGGAAGGUGGUGAGCUUAAUACGCUCAUCAAUUGACGUUACUCGCAGAAGAAGCACCGGCUAACUCCGUGCCAGCAGCCGCGGUAAUACGGAGGGUGCAAGCGUUAAUCGGAAUUACUGGGCGUAAAGCGCACGCAGGCGGUUUGUUAAGUCAGAUGUGAAAUCCCCGGGCUCAACCUGGGAACUGCAUUUGAAACUGGCAAGCUAGAGUCUCGUAGAGGGGGGUAGAAUUCCAGGUGUAGCGGUGAAAUGCGUAGAGAUCUGGAGGAAUACCGGUGGCGAAGGCGGCCCCCUGGACGAAGACUGACGCUCAGGUGCGAAAGCGUGGGGCAGCAAACAGGAUUAGAUACCCCUGGUAGUCCACGCUGUAAAACGAUGUCGAUUUUGGAGGUUGUGCCCUUGAGGCGUGGCUUCCGGAGCUAACGCGUUAAAUCGACCGCCUGGGGGAGUACGGCCGCAAGG
rnacentral:rRNA from 1 species